CAGUGAUAACAAGCACUUUAUUUUACAUUUUAAUAUUUUAUGAUGUAUUUAAAAGAGUAGUUAUUGUUGCAAACUCCAUUAGAAAUUUGAAUUGAUAUCAGUUUUGGAAAAAAGGGAAACGGGGAUGUGAAAAAAAAGGGGGGGGGGUUAAAUUUUUCUCAUUUCAGAUUUCAUAAAUAAAAAGAAAAUUUCUUCAAACAUUUUUUUGAGAGGAUUAAUAUUCAACAGCAUAGUGAAUUGCUCAAAGGCAAAAAAAAACUUUUAAGUUCAUUAGACCACAUUCAUUCUGUGUCAGAAACCUAUGCUGUGUCAACUAUUUAAUUUUAGAUUUAAAAAGUUUGAAGAAGAAAUCUUUAAUUGAUUUGUAAAAUCUUGACAUUUGUUUUGUGUAAAAAAAAAACCCAUGUAAUGUCAAAAAUUUGAUCACAAUCCAAAUUCAGAGCUGUAUCAGGCUUGAAUGUUUUGUCCAUACUUGCCCCAACUGUUCAGGGUUUGACCUCUGCGGUCGUAUAAAGCUGCACCCUGCGGAGCACCUGGUUAUAUUAGCAUU
rnacentral:lncRNA from 1 species